CAGAAGGCAACAGCACAGGUGAUACAGCAUUGAUCUUUCUGGGCUAGACUGCGACUUCGCCUAUGUGUCUGUGCUGGGGACUGAGAGAGAGUAAGGGUAUUUCUACACUAGUGACUGGACAUGUAUCCAGGCACUUAGUUGCACCAUAACCCCUCUAUUGUUCCUAUUGUCCACACCUAAACCCCAGGAGUACGUGGCUGAAGGUGAACAUGGAUCCUGGUCCGAGAGCAGCUGCCUGGCUUGCCGACCACAUCUGAGAACUGAUCAAUGGGUGGUUAGAGUACGACUUUGCCUGGAGCAUCAGAAAUGUACACCGGUACCAGGAAAUUUAAUGGAGGCAGAAGGAGGCGGGUAUUUAGCAGCCUCCGGCCCAGUGCCAGGAAAGUAUAAAGCACUUGAGGCUCAUUUGGUCAGCAAUGUUCCUGUGGCCAAGGAUUUUACCUAGAACCAAGUCUAGUUUGUUACAUUUUAGCUACUAGAGAGUGUUCUGUCUUUGUUUCUCUUGUAACCAUUUCUGCCGUUAAUAUCUUAUA